rnacentral:rRNA from 1 species
AUUGAACGCUGGCGGAAUGCUUUACACAUGCAAGUCGAACGGCAGCACGGGGCAACCUGGUGGCGAGUGGCGAACGGGUGAGUAAUACAUCGGAACGUGCCCAAUCGUGGGGGAUAACGUAGCGAAAGUUACGCUAAUACCGCAUACGAUCUACGGAUGAAAGCGGGGGAUCGCAAGACCUCGCGCGAAUGGAGCGGCCGAUGUCAGAUUAGGUAGUUGGUGGGGUAAAGGCUCACCAAGCCAACGAUCUGUAGCUGGUCUGAGAGGACGACCAGCCACACUGGAACUGAGACACGGUCCAGACUCCUACGGGAGGCAGCAGUGGGGAAUUUUAGGACAAUGGGCGCAAGCCUGAUCCAGCCAUUCCGCGUGCAGGAUGAAGGCC